GUGCUCGCCUCAGCAGCACGUACAGUAAAAUUGUAACCAUACAGAGAAGAUUAUCACGGCCCCUGCACAAGGAUGACACGCAAAUUCAUGAAGCGUUCCAUAUUUUU
ensembl:snRNA U6 U6 spliceosomal RNA